rnacentral:rRNA from 1 species
GACGAACGCUGGCGGCGUGGAUUAGGCAUGCAAGUCGAACGGUAUCAUCCUUUCGGGGGUGAGAGAGUGGCGAACUGGUGAGUAACACGUAGGUUAUCUACCCUCAAGACGGGGACAACCCAGGGAAACUUGGGCUAAUACCGGAUGUGAGCAACUUUUAGUUGUUUGAAAGGUGGCGUAAGCUGUCGCUUGGGGAUGAGCCUGGCGUCCUAUUAGUUAGUUGGUGAGGUAACGGCUCACCUAGGCAAUGAUAGGUAGGCGGCCUUAACGGGUGGUCGCCCACACUGGGAUUGAGAUACGGCCCAGACUCCUACGGGAGGCAGCAGUCGAGAAUAGUCUACAAUGGUCGGAAGACUGAUAGUGCGACGCCGCGUGAACCGAUGAAUCCCUUCGGGGUGUAAAGUUCUUUUAUAUGUGAGCAGUGCUUCUUAUAUUAACAGUAUGGGGAGAGAGAUAUUUAGCAUAUGAAUAAGCAACGGCUAACUCCGUGCCAGCAGCCGCGGUAAACUCGU